rnacentral:rRNA from 1 species
UCGUCAGCUCGUGUUGUGAAAUGUUGGGUUAAGUCCCGCAACGAGCGCAACCCUUAUCCUUUGUUGCCAGCGGUCCGGCCGGGAACUCAAAGGAGACUGCCAGUGAUAAACUGGAGGAAGGUGGGGAUGACGUCAAGUCAUCAUGGCCCUUACGACCAGGGCUACACACGUGCUACAAUGGCGCAUACAAAGAGAAGCGACCUCGCGAGAGCAAGCGGACCUCAUAAAGUGCGUCGUAGUCCGGAUUGGAGUCUGCAACUCGACUCCAUGAAGUCGGAAUCGCUAGUAAUCGUGGAUCAGAAUGCCACGGUGAAUACGUUCCCGGGCCUUGUACACACCGCCCGUCACACCAUGGGAGUGGGUUGCAAAAGAAGUAGGUAGCUUAACCUUCGGGAGGGCGCUUACCACUUUGUGAUUCAUGACUGGGGUGAAGUCGUAACAAGGUAACCGUAGGGGAACCUGCGGUUGGAUCAC